rnacentral:rRNA from 1 species
AGUACGGUCGCAAGAUUAAAACUCAAAGGAAUUGACGGGGGCCCGCACAAGCAGCGGAGCAUGUGGUUUAAUUCGAAGCAACGCGAAGAACCUUACCUAGACUUGACAUCUCCUGAAUUACCAUGUAAUGUGGGAAGUCCUUUCGGGGACAGGAAGACAGGUGGUGCAUGGUUGUCGUCAGCUCGUGUCGUGAGAUGUUGGGUUAAGUCCCGCAACGAGCGCAACCCUUAUUGUUAGUUGCCAUCAUUUAGUUGGGCACUCUAGCGAGACUGCCGGUGACAAACCGGAGGAAGGUGGGGAUGACGUCAAAUCAUCAUGCCCCUUAUGACCUGGGCUACACACGUGCUACAAUGGGAAGUACAACGAGUCGCUAGACCGCGAGGUCAUGCAAAUCUCUUAAAGCUUCUCUCAGUUCGGAUUGCAGGCUGCAACUCGCCUGCAUGAAGCCGGAAUCGCUAGUAAUCGCGGAUCAGCACGCCGCGGUGAAUACGUUCCCGGGCCUUGUACACACCGCCCGUCACACCACGAGAGUUUGUAACACCCGAAGUCGGUGAGGUAACCUUUUUGGAGCCAGCCGCCUAAGGUGGGAUAGAUGAUUGGGGUGAAGUCGUAACAAGGUAGCCGUAUCGGAAGGUGCGGCUG